rnacentral:rRNA from 1 species
CUACGGGUGGCUGCAGUCGAGAAUCUUUCGCAAUGGGGGAAAUCCUGACGAAGCGACGCCGCGUGUGUGAUGAAGGCUUUCGAGUUGUAAAACACUGUCACAAGGGACGAAAAAUAUAGAAGAUAAUACCUUCUAUAUCUGACGGUACCUUGAGAGGAAGCCCCGGCUAACUCCGUGCCAGCAGCCGCGGUAAUACGGAGGGGGCAAGCGUUGUUCGGAUUUACUGGGUGUAAAGGGUGCGUAGGCGGCAUAGUAAGUGGGAUGUGAAAUCUCCGGGCUUAACUUGGAAACUGCAUUCCAUACUGCUAAGCUAGAAUAUCACAGAGGCAAAUGGAAUUCUCGGUGUAAGGGUGAAAUCUGCAGAGAUCGAGAAGAACACCAGUGGCGAAGGCGAUUUGCUGGGUGAAUAUUGACGCUGAGGUACGAAAGCGUGGGUAGCGAACGGGAUUAGAUACCCUAGUAGUC